AUUGUUUUCUUUUCCAACGGUAUUAUUUAUAUGCAAUAUGUAAGAGCAAUAAUUAAAGAAGAGGCAGUUUAAUCUGUUGAGCCAUUUAUGCUAAUGCACAGCACCCCCUGUAUUGACAAGAAGUUAACGACAACGGGCACAUGCAGUUCGCAUGGUGGCCAAGAAAAAAAAAGUUUAUCCUGAACUCCCAACAUAUUCCAUGAGUGAUUUACUCAUACCCUAUUCUAUUGCUUUAGUCUGCUUAAAGUCCAUGUUGUCACCAGAUUUUAGAUGGCCUUCCCCUGGCAUUCCUUAGUCAGCAUACCUCCAGACCUUCACAGCUUGGGUCUGCCUUUGUAAACGAAGCCAACUGCUUUUACUUUAGCUGCAUUGUGCCUGCCAGUAUAGCUGACCAUUACCCAUGUGUCAUUUCAUUAACUUGUCAUGUUUAGAUAACCACGUCAGGAGAAGAUGGGACAUGCAGCACUAAACAUGUUAGGUCUUUUAGAUUAGUCUCCAUGGUUCUGGCUUUGACAUGCUUCACAGUCAUGCGUGUGUACCUCACCCACUCUCCUCUCGCCUAUCUCUUCAUGUUGCUUCUCAACCUGCAUCUGUUAUCUGACGUUCACACCUCUCCACCGUCACGUCACUGGAUAUAACUCCAGCUAGGUUUUACUAUCAUAGUGUCAAUUUAGAUUUAGUCUUUGUUUUAGUCUUAAAAUACCUUUUUAGGCUUGAUCACAUUUUAACCACAUGGUGCUUUUAAAAAAUUUAAAUAAUAUGUAGGCAUUGAUUAUUGUGGCAGAUUGUAACUAAUGCCAGCCAUAAUUAACCAUAUAGGCUAUAACGCCUUGGCUACAGGUUAAACAAUUUACAACUGAUUUUCUCCCCAUCAUAAGUGGUUUCUUGAAAAGGGGAGAAUUUGAGCUUUCCAGAAAUGUCAGAAGUUUUACCGUACUCCUAAAAUUCAACAAAUGGCAUUAGUUUCUCCCACAGGAAAAAAGCAACCACUUGUGUUUGAGCCUUGUGGUGCGUCAGCAGCAACACAGAUGAAUAAUAGGGAGAAGGGGAAAAUAGAGGUUCUGAUGUGAUCAAAGCAAAAAUAGCCAACAUGAAAUUGAGUGAACAUUACUGUUUCUAGUUGAGUUAGUUGCAAGUCAAGUGUCCUGGCACUUGGCUUCGCAUCAGGUCAAAUGAUUGACGAGUGAUUGAAGUGACCUGGGUAGCUGAGUGGGAGGAGAGCUGGGUAGAUCAGCUCAAUCAGACUGUGCAACAAAGAUGUCAGUUCUACAAACAAAAAAGUCCAAUCCUCAGCAUGUAUGCAUGCAGAAUAUUUAAUGCAGUCCUCUCUUUGGAAGAAUUCAAGUCUUUCAUGUUCCGCGGUCUGCAGCUGAUUAAGCUGAUCUGCCCAGCUCUCCCACACAGCUCCAGGUGGUCACUUCAGUCACUCGUUGACCUUUUGAAUUGAUGCGAAGCCAGUUGACACUUGACUGCCGAAUGUUGCGGCAUUAGCGCCGUGGUCCGCAUGCCAUGUCAAAUUAAAUGUACAUUAGUCACGUAGAAGUCUCGUUACAUUUUUGUUGACUAAAGUGACAAGUAAAUUGUAAUAGUUAUCGUUUUUUCCCCCCAGGGAAUCUCGUCUCGUUUUAGUCAGAAAAAAUAGGGUGUAACAACCGAGCUGUGGAGCCGAGGUAUGGCCUUCGUUUUGGCCACGAGGUGUGAGGUAACAUAACUGAAGCAGUUUGUGGGAGCCUGUAUGCGGUGGUUGUCUUGCGUAUUUUCUUUCUAUGCUCGUCUCCCUCUUCUUUAAACCCGGGGUUAACAUCUGUUUGUCCCCCUCCCUGCAGGAAAGAAGAGCUCUAGAAAGGAAGAUCUCUGAUAUGGAGGAGGAACUCAAGACGCUACCAGACUUGAAAGCAGACAACCAGAGACUAAAGGACGAGAACGGAGCUCUUAUUCGAGUCAUUAGCAAGCUUUCCAAGUAGAACAGACCCCCCCUCCUGCGCCCGCCCACUCCUCCAUGGCAGUGACUAAUGGAAUUGCAACUUUUAGGUAUUAAUUGCAAGAGACAUCAGCAUCGGGAAGACUCCUUCUCCCCUCAGCUCUUCUAUCCCUCUCUCCUCUACCACCACCACAGCAUCCUCCAUGUGCUCCCUCUCUCCAUUAGGUUAUUCUCCACUUCAACCAAGUGGCUGCUCUCCAGAUAGAACCACUGAGUUUACAUCAGCAAAGGAUAGGGUUGUGAACGGCAUGUUAAAGCAUUUGCGGGCGGGGAAGCCUCAACUAUUUAACCAAUAAGCCUUAGUUGUACAUAAAACACUUGUAUCGAUCUCUCGGCUGUCACAGAAGAACAGUUAUUUCACACCUGAUUUUAUUUGUGCCACAAACUCUUAUUUGGUCUUUUUGUUUUCAUUUCCUGUUUGUUCCUCGACCUACAUACAAGGGUUGUGCGAUGUGUAGUUGUCCUGUGCGAUGUGUAGUUGUCCUGUCCUUUCUGACCCCCUCUCCCCCUGUUUUUGGAGGCUCUGUCUCACAGCAGAAGACUUCCCAGUGGUACCUCCCGUCUUAGUGCAUGCAACCCACCCCCUCCCCCGACACACACCACACAAGCACACGCACACACCUCUAUCCACGCCACUCACCCCCUUUCCAUUUCUGUACCUUUGUGUGUCUCCCUCAGAGGUAAAUGGAAUUAUCGCUUUAC